CAGCCGCCGCGGGAAUACAGAGGGUGCGAGCGUUAAUCGGAUUUACUGGGCGUAAAGCGUGCGUAGGCGGCUUCUUAAGUCGGAUGUGAAAUCCCUGAGCUUAACUUAGGAAUUGCAUUCGAUACUGGGAAGCUAGAGUAUGGGAGAGGACGGUAGAAUUCCAGGUGUAGCGGUGAAAUGCGUAGAGAUCUGGAGGAAUACCGAUGGCGAAGGCAGCCAUCUGGCCUAAUACUGACGCUGAGGUACGAAAGCAUGGGGAGCAAACAGGAUUAGAUACCCCUGUAGUCCCUGUCUCUUAUAC
rnacentral:rRNA from 1 species